CCCUUUUAUCUCUUUUCUAAUUUUUUUUCUUCUGAAUUCUUCAUUCCAAUUUCUUGAGUAGGGAGGACCCUACUCCCUAUUUGCACCUAUUCCUAUUUCUCUGUCCCCUCUUCUAUCCUUUUGGGAAUCACCAAAUACUUGUUUGGUAUAUAUGUCAAGUUUUAUAGCUCUUUGGAAGAGAAAGUUUGGACCCUUUUGUUGUACACAAGAGUGAGAGUUCACAGUUCUACAACAAGGAUUAUUAAGAUGGACAACGAAUUUGAGGAUAGACAAGAAGAAACAGUUUCAGAUAUGAUACCAAGCAAUCAGCAGAGAAAAAAGCAGUCGUUUCUGUGGAAAGUUUUGGCCAUGAGAGAGAGAAACGGAAGAACAAUGGAGCGAGGUUCUAAUGAUUCACUUGGUGAGUUCUCUG